UCGGUUAGCAUUGCGCAGGUUAAGAGACCC
rnacentral:piRNA from 1 species